GUUUGUUUUGUGUUUUUUAGAUGAACGACGUUACUACGUGUAACACCCCAAAAUUUGCCCUCCUCAUUCAUGCAUUCAUUUAGCAUUUCAUAUUGCAUUUCAUCAUGUCAAUCAGAAUUAGAUCCAAGAAACUUUAUUUAAAAAAAAUAAAAAAUAAUAAUAAUAAUAAAUAAAAAAAUAAAAAUAAUAAUAAAAAAAUAAAUAAACGAAAA
rnacentral:lncRNA from 1 species